CCUGAAGAAGUGUGUUUUCAAAGAUUUUUUGGAGUAGAGACUGGGUGAAAGUCUAAUGGAGAAGAAAAGGGAGUUCCACAGAAAAGGUGCAGCCCUGGAGAAGUCUUGGAGGCGAGCAUCAGAUGUGGGAGUACGGCACACUUUGUCCCAUAUGCAAAUCCAAGACACACCAAAUUCAAAGUGAUCAGCAGAUAUGUUAGUUCCUCACUACAAAACAUCAAGAAUUGAGAUGAAAGCAGAUGGGGUGCCUAGGAAGGCCUCCAUUAGGGUCCAGAGUCUUUUCAUAGAUGCGUGCCACGUGUUACACCACUGAUUGAUCUGUGUGCACAUUAAAUGGAGGAAAGCAUUAGCUCUGUUCAAGCUCUGGGUUUGUAUAACAUACUAAUCUGAUACAUAAAUCCCUAAGGCUACAAAUUCAUCUUGCAUCAGUUUAUUUUUAAAGAAAACAAAAAGUGC